ACAUGAUGAGAUAUAUAGCUGGCACCAGUCCUAGAAAGAUUUGUUCUCUGUUCACUGCGGACUUGCUUGCAACGGGUCGCUUCGUCGGCCCAACGCUCUGAU
rfam:Penicillium marneffei ATCC 18224 scf_1105668340738 genomic scaffold, whole genome shotgun sequence.